rnacentral:rRNA from 1 species
AGGAUGAACGCUAGCGGGAGGCCUAACACAUGCAAGCCGAGCGGUAUUGUUUCUUCGGAAAUGAGAGAGCGGCGUACGGGUGCGGAACACGUGUGCAACCUGCCUUUAUCUGGGGGAUAGCCUUUCGAAAGGAAGAUUAAUACUCCAUAACAUAUUGAACGGCAUCGUUUAAUAUUGAAAGCUCAGGCGGAUAGAGAUGGGCACGCGCAAGAUUAGCUAGUUGGUGAGGUAACGGCUCACCAAGGCAAUGAUCUUUAGGGGGCCUGAGAGGGUGAUCCCCCACACUGGUACUGAGACACGGACCAGACUCCUACGGGAGGCAGCGGUGAGGAAUAUUGGUCAAUGGGUGCAAGCCUGAACCAGCCAUCCCGCGUGAAGGACGACUGCCCUAUGGGUUGUAAACUUCUUUUGUAUAGGGAUAAACCUUUCCACGUGUGGAAAGCUGAAGGUACUAUACGAAUAAGCACCGGCUAACUCCGUG